UACGGAGGGUGCGAGCGUUGUCCGGAAUCACUGGGCGUAAAGGGCUCGUAGGCGGCCAACUAAGUCGGAUGUGAAAUCCCCAGGCUUAACCUGGGAACUGCAUCCGAUACUGGAUGGCUUGAAUCCGGGAGAGGGAUGCAGAAUUCCAGGUGUAGCGGUGAAAUGCGUAGAUAUCUGGAGGAAUACCGGUGGCGAAGGCGGCAUCCUGGACCGGCAUUGACGCUGAUGAGCGAAAGCUAGGGGAGCAAACGGGG
rnacentral:rRNA from 1 species